AUUGAACGCUGGCGGCAGGCCUAACACAUGCAAGUCGAGCGCGCGGCGGACGGGUGAGUAAUGUGUGUGGGCUGUCCGUUAUAGGGGGAUAUCUCCAGGAGACGCUAGCUAUUACCCCAUACUACCGGAUAAUCCCUAUGGGAUUAGCUAGUAGGUGGGGUAAUGGCUCACCUAGGCGACGAUCCCUAGCUGGUCUGAGAGGAUGAUCAGCCACACUGGAACUGAGACACGGCCCAGACUCCUACGGAGGCAGCAGUGGGGAAUAUUGCACAAUGGGCGCAAGCCUGAUGCAGCCAUGCCGCGUGUAUGAAGAAGGCCCUAGGGUUGUAAAGUACUUUCAGUCGGGAGGCGUUACCGACAGAAGAAGCACCGGCUAACUCCGUGCCAGCAGCCGCGGUAAUAC
rnacentral:rRNA from 1 species